UGGGCGGUUCGCUGCCCGCGACGUUGUGAGAAGUCCACUGAACCUUAUCAUUUAGAGGAAGGAGAAGUCGUAACAAGGUUUCCGUAGGUGAACCUGCGGAAGGAUCAUUG
rnacentral:rRNA from 1 species